GUAGGUGGCAAGCGUUGUCCGGGAAUUAUUGGGGCGCAAAGCGCGCGCAGGCGGUUCUUUAAGUCUGAUGUGAAAGCCCACGGGCUCAACCGUGGAGGGUCAUUGGAAACUGGAGAACUUGAGUACAGAAGAGGAAAGCGGAAUUCCACGUGUAGCGGUGAAAUGCGUAGAGAUGUGGAGGAACACCAGUGGCGAAGGCGGCUUUCUGGUCUGUAACUGACGCUGAGGCGCGAAAGCGUGGGGAGCAAACAGGAUUAGAUACCCUGGUAGUCCACGCCGUAAACGAUGAGUGCUAAGUGUUAGGGGGUUUCCGCCCCUUAGUGCUGCAGCUAACGCAUUAAGCACUCCGCCUGGGGAGUACGGCCGCAAGGCUG
rnacentral:rRNA from 1 species